UGGGGAAUCUUGGUCAAUGGGCGAAAGCCUGAACCAGCGACGCCGCGUGAGUGAUGAAGGCCUUCGGGUUGUAAAGCUCUGUGGGGAGAGACGAAAACGUCGGGCGCGAACAGCUCCCGGUCUUGACGGUAUCUCCUUAGCAAGCACCGGCUAACUCUGUGCCAGCAGCCGCGGUAAGACAGAGGGUGCAAACGUUGCUCGGAAUUACUGGGCGUAAAGCGCGUGUAGGCGGACCGAUGUGUCAGGUGUGAAAUCCCCGGGCUCAACCCGGGAACUGCACUUGAAACUGUCGGCCUUGAGUACCGGAGAGGGUGGCGGAAUUCCUGGUGUAGAGGUGAAAUUCGUAGAUAUCAGGAGGAACACCGGUGGCGAAGGCGGCCACCUGGACGGUUACUGACGC
rnacentral:rRNA from 1 species